rnacentral:rRNA from 1 species
UACGGAGGGUGCAGGCGUUAUCCGGAUUCACUGGGUUUAAAGGGUGCGUAGGAGGACUGGUAAGUCAGUGGUGAAAUCCCCGAGCUUAACUUGGGAACUGCCGUUGAUACUAUCAGUCUUGAAUACCGUGGAGGUGAGCGGAAUAUGUCAUGUAGCGGUGAAAUGCUUAGAUAUGACAUAGAACACCAAUUGCGAAGGCAGCUCGCUACACGAAUAUUGACUCUGAGGCACGAAAGCGUGGGGAUCAAACAGG